rnacentral:rRNA from 1 species
UACGAAGGGGGCUAGCGUUGCUCGGAAUCACUGGGCGUAAAGGGCGCGUAGGCGGCCUGUUAAGUCGAACGUGAAAUCCCCGGGCUCAACCCGGGAACUGCGUCCGAUACUGGCAGGCUUGAAUCCGGGAGAGGGAUGCGGAAUUCCAGGUGUAGCGGUGAAAUGCGUAGAUAUCUGGAGGAACACCGGUGGCGAAGGCGGCAUCCUGGACCGGCAUUGACGCUGAGGCGCGAAAGCCAGGGGAGCAAACGGG